rnacentral:rRNA from 1 species
AUGUUCUUUACUUGUCCCGUGGCCAGGGUAGUCUCGAGAUCAAUUGUAGUGGAUCUAGGCACUGAUAAAUGCCCAACGAACUACUGGCAAUACUUCGUGUGGUGCCACAAGUUUCUCCCUGGAAAGAAAACUUUUUAUACAGUGGGCUUAGUGGCCACUUGUUGGGCCAUAUGGUUGGCACGCAAUCGAGCUACUUUUGAAAAGAAACAAAUCAAGACUCCUUUUGAGGUUGUGUUUUCUCUAUGCUCUUCUUUGCUCUACUGGACAGGACUACAGCAAGGGGGUGACGCCAAGGAGCUGCACACAGGAGCUGAGAUGAUCAGGGCUAGCACGAUGCAGCUGAUGAAGAUGUGUGGUGUUGUCAAACAACCGAUCCAAGGUGCUUGA